CCAGACUCCUACGGGAGGCAGCAGUGGGGAAUAUUGCACAAUGGGGGAAACCCUGAUGCAGCGACGCCGCGUGAGUGAAGAAGUAAUUCGUUAUGUAAAGCUCUAUCAGCAGGGAAGAAGAUGACGGUACCUGACUAAGGAGCCCCAGCUAACUACGUGCCAGCAGCCGCGGUAAUACGUAGGGGGCAAGCGUUAUCCGGAUUUACUGGGUGUAAAGGGAGCGUAGACGGCGAUGCAAGCCAGAUGUGAAAGCCCGGGGCUCAACCCCGGGACUGCAUUUGGAACUGUGUGGCUGGAGUGUCGGAGAGGCAGGCGGAAUUCCUAGUGUAGCGGUGAAAUGCGUAGAUAUUAGGAGGAACACCAGUGGCGAAGGCGGUCUGCUGGACAGCAACUGACGCUGAGGCGCGAAAGCGUGGGGAGCAAACAGGAUUAGAUACCCUGGUA
rnacentral:rRNA from 1 species